AUCGCCUGAAACCCAUCACAUUAUUAUUUACUCGCAUGGUUGCUUUCACCAAAUCGUAAUACUGUUUUGUCUAACGCCUUGUUGAAUUUUUUAAAGGAAAGCGAAAUAACAAUUGAACAGAAGUUUUUAAUAAAUGGUCACACGCAAAUGGAAUGUGAGAAAAAUAAAUAAAAAACAAAUAAACUUGCCGUCUCAAUUUGUUCAACUCAUUAAGGAAUCUAGAAAAGUUCCAGCACCUCUACAAGCGCAUCAUGUGCGUUAUGAUUAUUUUUUAAAUUUCGAAAAUAUUUCAAAGAUAUAUACAUCAAUACGACCAGGCAGGGGCAUUGGAGAUCAUACAGUAAGCAUGCUUCGAGCCUUAGCGUAUCACUCGUCAGGAUCAAUUUAUUUUAAAACAAAUGUAACAGAUGAAUAUCAGUUACUCCCACAGAGAUCGAGGUUUCCGAUUGAAAAUGUGUCCCCCGAUUGUCUUUAUAAAGAGAAAAUAGCCAUAUCUAAAAAAAA
rnacentral:lncRNA from 1 species